UGGACUUCUAGGGGAGGGGUCAUGACCUGAGAGUUUGAUCAGUAAUCUGCUGGAGCAUGUGGUGCAAACAAUAGCUAAUCAAUCAUCACAACAGGUAUGCUGACCUUCUACCAUCUGUGACUGCUUAAUGACAUUGACUGAAGGUUUCUAUUAAAACAGGCAGAAGAGGAUGAAGAUGGAAAAGGAAAAAGAGGAAGAAAAGGAAAUCCAGGAAUCCAAGUGGAUCCUAUCAUAGUGGCCCCAACCCAGCUGGUCAUAGCUGAUUAUAAAAUGGACUCCACCAUUCUCCACAUACUGUACACAGGAAUUACUUUUUCAGAAAUAAUUAAUGCACCAUGACUAAAUUUAUGGCACAUCAGCCUCACUCUUGCCAUUGCACCAAAAUGAAGGAUGCAGGUUAAAGGCAAAUGUUA